rnacentral:rRNA from 1 species
UUUUAUUUUUUUAUUUUUUGUUGGGUUAGUUAUUAUUUUUAAUUUGAAUUUAAUUAUUUUUUUUUGUUUUAGUAUUUAUUUUGAAAAAAUUGUUUUUAUUAUAGUUUAUUUGUACUGUGAGGGUUUAUAUUUAUUAAAAAUUUAUAAGCAGAUUUUUAUUGUACCUUUUGUAUCAGGGUGAAUUAAUUUUUUUUUAAUUAUUUAUUUUUCCCGAAUUUGAUUGAGCUAAUUAUUUAUGUUGAUUAGAGUUUCAUAUUUAUUAAUUAUAUUUAUUUAGUUGUGAGAUGUUAUUCGUAAUUUAAGAUAUCUGGUUUUUUAAUAGAUGAAUUUAAUUCGGCUUAUUUAAUUUAUUUGUUUUUGUGUUUAUUCAAAUAUUUUAUUUUGGUAAGUUUUUGGGGGAUGAGCUCCAUUUAUAUUUUAAAAUGUUAUUUUUUUGAUGUUAUAUAGGUUUUAUAAUGACCAUUAUUAUUUAAUAUUUUAUAAUUUAUUAUUGGUUUUAUUUUAUUUUUUAUUUUAUUUAAUUAUUUAUUGGAAUGUUUUAUUUAAUUUUUUUUUAUAUUUAAUAAUGAUUUAAUUAGUAUAUUUUGUGUUAUUUUGUUUUAUUUUAUGUAAAAAUUUUAUAAGGAACUAGGCAAAAAAGUUAAUAAAUUAUUUUAUUCGCCUGUUUAUCAAAAACAUCUUUUCUUGUGAAUUAUAUGAGAUCUAACCUGCCCUAUGAUUUAUUAAAUGGCCGCGGUAUUUUAACCGUGCGAAGGUAGCAUAAUCAUUAGUCCAUUAAUUGUGGACUUGUAUGAAUGGUUGGACGAAAUAUGUACUGUCUCAUUUUAUUGAUUAUAAUUUGAUUUUUGAGUUAAAAAGCUUAUAUUUUUUUAAAGGACGAGAAGACCCUAUAGAUCUUUAUUUUUUAUUUGUCAAUUAUAUUUUUGGUUUAAUGUCUAUUUUGAUUUAUUUGAUUGUUUUGUUGGGGUGACAUGGAGAUAUAAUUUAAACUCUUCAUUUUUGUUUUCAUUGAUUUAUGUUUAUUUGACCUUUUAUUAUUGUUUUAAGAUUUAGAUACCUUAGGGAUAACAGCGUUAUUUUUCUUGAGAGUUCGUAUCGACAGAUAAGAUUGCGACCUCGAUGUUGGAUUAAGAUUAUUAUUAGGUGAAGUCGCUUAAUUAUUAAGGUCUGUUCGACCUUUAAAUUCUUACAUGAUCUGAGUUCAAACCGGCGUGAGCCAGGUUGGUUUCUAUCCUUAAUUUUAUUAUUUUAUGUUAGUACGAAAGGACCAUAUAGUUUAAAUAUUUUAUUUUUAUUUGAUUUUUU